rnacentral:lncRNA from 1 species
CCACUACCAGUUGUCUGCCACCAGCACACCCACUUGCCUCCACCACUCUAUGCCUGCAAAAGAAGACAAAAAAGGACAGCAAAGAAAAACACCAAAAAAUGAAAUUCUUUGUAUUUUUUUUCUUUGGAUUUUGGGCUAUAUAAAAGCCCUAUGGUCAUUGUAAAGAGGGGGGACACCAUAGUAAUAAAAAGAUAGAUUUUGAAUUAGAGAAGGUGAUAUUUCGUUUUUUUUGAAAAAAAAACACACUACAAAAAUUCAAUACAAAAAAACCAAAAAAAAAAUCAGAAGAGGUGACUUUUAGUCUUUAUUCCGACUUGAUUUUCAUUUUCUUUAUUCCGACUUGAUUUUCAUUUUCUUUCUUCGUGUUUUUUUAUUUAGUGUAAAAUAAAAAAGGAAGGAACUAACCCGUGUUUGGAAACCUUUGAAUCUCUGCUUGUUUCGUCAUAAUCGAAACUUGGUAGCGAUUUAGAGUUUGCGAGUGAAAGUCACGAACUGGUGGUCCAAUGAAGCCUUGAUUGACCAUUGUUGGGUCGAAAGGAAAGGCAAGAGGAUCGUCGAUGGAGGGCUUGAAGAUCGGCCGAAUAUUGAAGAGAAAAGCUUGGUUUUCUUUCUCUUUUUUUUGAAGCGGCUAGGGGAUUUACUUAGGAUACUUAGGAUUUGCUUUUGCUGCUUUGGGGAAGAUUAAAUGGCACCGUUUCAGGCUAAUACUAAUAGCCCCAAAAUGGCACUACUUAAAAAAGAGGGUUAUUUGUAAUAUGAGUCCCUCUUCUCUUACAUGUGUCUCAUUUUAGCUUAAAUUCUAGCUUUUUAAUUUAUCCCUUAAAGUUCAUUUCUUUUUAUUUUUGGUUCCUUGACCGUUGAAUCUUGUUUAUUUUUCAUUUUUUAUUAUUUUCAAUAUUAUGCAUUUAUUUUUAUUUUCUUCAGUAUUUUAUUUACUUGCUCUUUUUAAAUUCAACCCCUUAUAUUUUGUUUUAUUUUC